AUUGAACGCUGGCGGAAUGCUUUACACAUGCAAGUCGAACGGUAGAGGGGGCAACCCCUUGAGAGUGGCGAACGGGUGAGUAAUAUAUCGGAACGUGCCCAGUCGUGGGGAUAACGUAGCGAAAGUUACGCUAAUACCGCAUACGAUCUAAGGAUGAAAGCGGGGGACUCGCAAGAGCCUCGCGCGAUUGGAGCGGCCGAUAUCAGAUUAGGUAGUUGGUGGGGUAAAGGCUCACCAAGCCAACGAUCUGUAGCUGGUCUGAGAGGACGACCAGCCACACUGGAACUGAGACACGGUCCAGACUCCUACGGGAGGCAGCAGUGGGAAUUUUGGACAAUGGACGCAAGUCUGAUCCAGCCAUUCCGCGUGCAGGAUGAAGGCCCUCGGGUUGUAAACUGCUUUUGUACGGAACCGAAAAAGGUUUACUAUUAAUAACUAGGAGCUCAUGACGGUACCGUAAGAAUAAGCAACCGGCUAAACUACGUGCCAGCAGCG
rnacentral:rRNA from 1 species